rnacentral:tRNA from 1 species
AAUUAUGUGCCUGAUUAAAGGAUUAAUUUGAUAGAUUAAAUAAUGAAAUAUUUUAAUUUCUUUA